UACGUAGGUGGCAAGCGUUGUUCGGAAUUAUUGGGCGUAAAGCGCACGUAGGCGGAUCGAUCAGUCAGGGGUGAAAUCCCAGGGCUCAACCCUCGGAUGCCGGUGGAUACUGUCGGGCUUGAGUACGGAAGAGGCGAGUGGAAUUCCUGGUGUAGCGGUGAAAUGCGCAGAUAUCAGGAGGAACACCAAUUGCGAAGGCAGCUCGCUGGGACGUUACUGACGCUGAGACGCGAAAGCGUGGGGAGCAAACAGG
rnacentral:rRNA from 1 species